UCAAAGAUUAAGCCAUGCAAGUGAAAGUAUAUAUAUAUUUAUUAUAUAGAAACUGCGAACGGCUCAUUAAAACAGUUAUAAUCUACUUGACAUUUUUUUUAUAAGGAUAACUACGGAAAAGCUGUAGCUAAUACUUGAACGAUUGUUCUUCAGUUCCCCAAAAAGGUUCUGUAGAACACGUAUUUGUUAAGCCUAAUAAGAAAAAAGUUAUUAACUUAAGGAAUUAUAACAAAGAAGGAACACAUAAUAAAACUUUGUUUUAUUUAGUGUGUAUCAAUCGAGUUUCUGACCUAUCAGCUUUUGAUGUUAGGGUAUUGGCCUAACAUGGCUAUGACGGGUAACGGGGAAUUAGAGUUCGAUUCCGGAGAGGGAGCCUGAGAAAUAGCUACCACAUCUAAGGAAGGCAGCAGGCGCGUAAAUUACCCAAUUCUAAAGAAGAGAGGUAGUGACAAGAAAUAACAAGGUAAGGUCAAAUUUUGGCUUUGCCAUUGGAAUGAUAGGAAUUUAAAAACUUCCUAAAGUAACAAUUGGAGGGCAAGUCUGGUGCCAGCAGCCGCGGUAAUUCCAGCUCCAAUAGCGUAUAUUAAAAUUGUUGCAGUUAAAACGCUCGUAGUUGAAUUUCAAAGAAUCAAUUUUUAAGGUAAUGCUUUAUCGGAUACGUGUUAAAUGGUGCUUCGGCGCGUAUUUUUCACAAUUCUGAUAUUAUGUAUUCCUUAAAAUAAAAUAGGUUCUUUUUAAAAAUUCUUCGUUGCUUUAUGUGAUGAGAAUUUUUGUUACUUUGAGUAAAUUAGAGUGUUCAAAGCAAACAGUUUAAAACAGCUAAAACUGUGUUUGAAUACUACAGCAUGGAAUAACAAAAUUGAACAAGCUAAAAUUUUUGUUCUUUUUUCUUAUUUUGGCUUAGUUACGAUUAAUAGGAGUAGUUUGGGGACAUUCGUAUUCAGAUGUCAGAGGUGAAAUUCUUAGAUUUUCUGGAGACGAACAACUGCGAAAGCAUUUGUCUAAAAUAUGUUCAUUAAUCAAGAACGAAAGUUAAGGGAGUGAAGACGAUCAGAUACCGUCGUAAUCUUAACCAUAAACUAUGCCGACUAGGUGUUGGAUUAUAGAAUAAUAAAAUAAAAGAUACUCUUAAUGAAAUAAUUUUAAGAGCUUUUAGAUUACUUCCUUCAGUACCUUAUGAGAAAUCAAAGUCUUUGGGUUCUGGGGCGAGUAUUCGCGCAAGCGAGAAAGUUAAAAGAAUUGACGGAAGGGCACCACCAGGCGUGGAGCUUGCGGCUUAAUUUGACUCAACACGGGAAAACUCACUAGUUUAAGACAAGAGUAGGAUUGACAGAUUAAUAGCUCUUUCUUGAUUUCUUGGAUGGUGAUGCAUGGCCGUUUUUAGUUCGUGAAUAUGAUUUGUCUGGUUAAUUCCGAUAACGAACGAGAUCUUAACCUGCUAAUUAGCGGUAAAUACAACAUAUUCUUAAGUAAAUAAGAAUAUAGAUAAAAAUAACAAAUAAGAGAAAAUAUUAGGAUGUUAUUAUAUAUAAUGUCCUUUUCCCUUUUCUUCUUAUCUUGUUUUUUUUAUUCUAUUUCUUUUUUUACUUAAGAAUGUAUUUACUUGAUUGUAAAGCUUCU
rnacentral:rRNA from 1 species